CGGAUCGGAGUCUGCAACCCGACUCCGUGAAGCUGGAUUCGCUAGUAAUCGCGCAUCAGCCAUGGCGCGGUGAAUACGUUCCCGGGCCUUGUACACACCGCCCGUCAAGCCAUGGAAGCCGGGGGCGCUUGAAGUGCGUUGCCGCAAGGCGCGCCCUAGAGCGAAACCGGUGACUGGGCUAAGUCGUAACAAGGUACC
rnacentral:rRNA from 1 species